AAACGAUUGAAGUCAGUCGUACCGACGAGAAAUCAACUUAUCGUGUGCGAACUUGUGGGCGUGCGUGAGUUUCGGCCUCGCUGUUUGCAUGUUUGUGCGUUUUGGGUGUACUUUUUCGUAUGGUAGGCCAACAUCAGUUUCGAUUACUAUAAAAUGACCGGCGGAAUGUAGCUUCGAUUUCGGUUGAAGUGUUAUAGUCUCUGGUAGAUGUGGUGAUUGGGACUGAGGAUUGCAACGAAUACCUUUUAGGCUAUCCGUCUGACCUCUGAAAGUUGCUCGGGUGUCGAAAGCGUGCUUAUGACAUUCUAGUUGGCGGUCAAAAGGUUAGAACGCGAUUACAUUCGUUAAGGAUGUUGACGUAAUGGCUUUAAACGA
rnacentral:rRNA from 1 species